UUUCCCAAAAUGUGUGUCUUUUAAUGCUUAGUCCAUUGGUAUAAUAAUGAAAACUUACCUAUCAGACUUACUUCAAUAGUUUUUGUUCAUAAACCUUGAAAAAUGGCAUUUUCAUGGAAUUAAUCCGAAAUGUGUUCAAAAAUAAACAUUUUAUUUAUUAUUAUUAUUUGUAGUUAUUUUGAUAACAAAGUUUUUUUUAUUGAAGUCAGAAUAAGUCUAUUUUGCUUAGUUUUAGAAUUAUAAACAUUCAAAUGAGUUUGUUUACUGUGCUUACUCGGAAAAUUUUAAUUGAAAAUAAUUCUUGAAAGUGACCAUAUUGAGUCUCUAAUUUCACUUGUAUUGCUUUUCACUUUACCUUGUUACCUACCCGAUGUGGCUUUGCUCAACAAAUCAAUGGUAAUUUUCGAUUAAAAUUGUCAGAGUUAAUUCUGCAGCAAACAUGACUUAUUUGAACUUCAAAACUAAGUGUCUAAGCCGGGUAGACUACGAUUCUAACUUCAAUUAUAAAACUUUGUCUUCAACAUAUCAAUAACUACAAAUAAUAAUGAUUAAAAAAAUGUGUAUUUUGGAUCAAUUUCAAAAAUGAUUUUUUUUAAAGUUUACGUACAAAAACUAUAAACAUAAGUAUGAUUAGGUUUUGAUUAUACCAACGGAUUAAGCAUUUAAAAAGACUUACAUACUAAGCACUUGGUUGCAGCCACUGUUGUAGGUGAGAAGUUGGAAAGGUAGUAGAGGAAAAAUAUAUUGUAUACCUAUGUGUAAGGGGAAUGCUUUAAAAUAUUGGAAAAUAAAUGAAUUGAAAAAUAUUUGAGCCUGACCGUUUUUAAGCAGAAAAAUAUUUCUGCCGAAGAGUAUUUUAUUUGAAAAUAUUACAGCCGACCUUUUCAAAGAGAUAAGUUCUGAUCUUCCACAAAAUGAUAACGUGUGUUAAAAAAUUAAUAAUAGGAAGACAAAUUUUGCACUUAUUAUUUUAAAAUGAAAAACAUUGCCAUUAGGUUCUUAUCUUUAUUGCAAAUUACAGUUAGUUGGGCCAUUUGGUUGCAACUUGCAUAUGUCGAGUUUGAAGUGAUUUACUAUACUUGUAUGUUGUGAUGUAUAAUGUACUACAUUUUAGAUUCUCAGUAAAUCGAGAAAUUUAUUUGUUUAACAAAGGUUUUUUUUUUCUGUGAACAACUUUUCUUUUAAAGAUUUUAAUCCAAUUUCCAAGUGUAGCACUUUUUCCGGAGUGGUACUUUACGGAGGUUAUUUUUGUUUUUCUUAGCAGUUUUAAUCAUAAAAUGGAAAGAAAAAAAAACAGGGAAUAUACAAAUAGUUGUGUGCUUAAUAUUAAAAUAAAAAGUAAUUAAUUUGUAUUCAUGUUACUCAUUAUAAUAAUUAAUUUUGUAUAUUUAAAAAUAAAUAAAUAAUACAAUUGUUUUUUUGAGUCAUAAAUUAAUUAUAAUUAAAUUAUUAUAAAAUAAUUAAAUAUACAAUUUUACUUCUCCAUCGUAGCAUUUUGAAGAUUAUUAACUAAAAAAAAAAACUAGGCAUAAUUUAAAACAUUCAAAUUGUUGAUUUUAUAGCUAUACCCUUCAUGUUCCAUUUAAAUUUUAAUAUUUAAUAUUAAUGUAGUUAAUGCCUUACAUUUAUUGAUAUACAGUGAAGUAAAAAAGAGGUUAAUUUGAUAGCACACUAGAUAGGUAUGAGUCACAAUAAUAUUAUCUUAGUGAAUAAUAUAAAUUUGAAUGUUUCAAAUAAUAAAAAUACUGGAGAAAAACCGAAAUAGGUUAUUUUGUAAUUUUGUUUCAAUAGAUUUCCUGUAUUAUAGACAAACUACUUCUAAGUGAUAUUAUUGAUGGAAUAGUCGAAACGAUUGAUUUGAUUAGUUUUAGAAUCGCAUUUAUUCUGUCCUAUUUAAGCAUAUAGACAAGAUUAUAUUUAACAAAAAGAUAAUUUAUGAAAAGUAAUCAUUUAGAAAUGUGUCCUUCAGUCGGUCAAUUUGAAUUUCAUGUGGCGUGUGGACUAAAAAUACUAACUAAAAGAAUUCUAAUUCUUUUAAUGUUUUUAAAUAUACAGAAAACUGACUCAAAGUUUUCCAGUUUUUAAAAAAUACAUUAUUUUUUAGUACAAUACUGCAAUCAAUUUAAUUAAUUUUUGACUAUUACAUUUGUGCCCUAAUAAUAAUAUUAUUGAAAUGUUGGACACCAGUGUUUGUUAAACUUACAUAAAUAUCUUAUAUUUUGCAUAAAAAAAACUAAAUUUAUUUUAAAAAACCAUAUAAUAUGGGGUUGGAAAAAAAAGCAAUAUAUUUAUUUUACAUGUUAUAUAGUACCAUAAAAUAGGUACCUACAUCAUAUUUUAAUACAAUUUUUGUGAUAAUGUUUAAAAUAUUGUGAUUGAAAUAUAAUAUAGUCAAUGGUAUUCAAAUAUGGUGUAAAUACCUGUUAUAUGGUACUAUAUAAUAUGAAGUACUAAUUAAUAUUAUUACUUUUUAUUUUAAAAUACGUGAAAUAAAAAUAUUUGUUUCUCGGUUGUGACGAAUGACAAUCGUCCAGGAGUAUUUGAUUACGAGAAGCGGGGGGUAGAUGUAAAAUUGUUUAUUGUUUACUGUUAACAUAACCAUGGUCCCGGUAGUAGAUAAAACACAGUGAUAUGAAAUAUAUCGCCAUUUUAUACAAAUCGUCAUUUUUUUGUUUUCACUUUUCAUUUAUACUUACUGCAUUCUACUGAGGUAUUUAACUCUGAUAUUCAUCUAUUUACUCGCCCAUGCGAAUUUGUCUAUUGUUUUACUUUCAUAAUAUGUAUAUUGCUGAGUCGAGAUGAGAACGAUACCUAGUGAAGUCAGAAUUGAACGGAUUGACCUAGUUUCGAAGUUAUAGUCUUUAUAAGUUUGGAUGUUAUGUUAAAUAAUUUAAUAUUGCUUUUUACAUGUAUUGUUUAUUAUAGUUUGUUGGUGAUGCGUACUUAGUAUCAUUCAUAAGGUCUCGAGUUCGAACCUCGUUUCUUAAAUUUGUAUAAUAACAUGUAUUGAUUACAGUGAGAUCAUUAGUUGAUUGUUUGUUAUUGGCUUUACUGUUAUUUCUACAAUUAAAACUAAUAUACGCGUUAUAAAUCUUGUUAAGCGCAUUUGUAGUUCAUGGAACACACUAUUUUUUGAGGUACUGCGAUAAACAUAUUAAAAUAUUGACGAAUGUUGACUCACUUAAUAUAACACACAUACUAUCCAAGAUUCUAAGUCAAGUAACUAAGUCAGUCCGCUCAAUUUCGACUUCAUCAUUGUUUUAACUGCAAUAUACAUAUUAUAUUGUGUGUUUUUGUACCUAUGUAAUAACACAAAACGUUUUUUUCUUUUUUCUCUAUUUUUAAUUGUACAUAAACUUUUGUCUUUUUCAGAUAGUUGUAAUUUUGAUGAUACAUUUCUGUGUUUUAAACUCCCUGCCUUCACCGCAAGCUCCAGUUUAAAGAAGGUAGAUAAUUUAUGUAAUUUGUGUGUUUUGUUAAAUUUGUUAUUUUUGAUUUAAUAAAUUAAUAAAUAAAAAAAAAAAAAAAAUAGACAUAUUAACUUAAACAAGAAUUGUUUAAUUUUCAUGGACCAGUGACUAGAUUUGUUCGAAUAGAUUAUUGCACUGGACUUCAGAGUACAUUAUAUUAUAUAUAGGUGAUUUUCAGUAAGUAGUAAAAACGCAGUCUGACUGUCUGAGUAGAACUCGUUUAAUUUUGGUUUAACAGUAAAAAUACAUAUUUUGUAAUUAAAAUAUGUAAAUAUUUCAGAAUGCAAGAUUGUGCGUUUUUUUAAAAAAAUAAUUUUUUGAAAUGUUAUAGGUCAUAUAAAAAUAUUGAAAUGGUCGUCAUUUCGAAUAACUAUUGGUUAAUAUUUAUUGAAAAACCUUUCUUUUUGUUUUCUUUUGCCUGUAAUUAUACUUAGUGCUUGUUACUACCUCGCUAUUUGGACACAAAACUUAUAUUUGCCUUUUCUAGACACCGUACAAUUUUCAAAACAUUUGAGCGAUAUUUGAAAUAUCUAUGGAAAUUAAAAUUUGUUGUUAAAAUUCAGUUAAAAAUAUUUCUAUGGACUUUACGGAUUUGAAAUUUAUACACAAAACUUAUAUUGGUAUAAUUCUAGUUUAUCCCCCAUGUGAUAUUUUGGGUUUUUUUUUUUUCAAAAUGUGUGUUUUGGUUCUAUAUUAUGAAUGUAAAAAAAUAAAUCUGAUGAAGUUCAUGUAGAAUUUAUGGUACUAUAUAAUAUGAUAUACUAAUAAAUAUUAUUUCUUGUUAUAUUAAAAUAUGUAAUAUAAAAAUAUUGCUUUUUUUUCUUUCUUAAUAUCCAUAUAUUAUAUGAACCAUACACAAGUGUAAUAUUUCAAUAGACAAAUGCAUUAGUAACAAGAGUAUACAAAUAUAGUUGUAUACAAAGACUAUUUUAAAAUGAUCAAUUAUUAUUAACAAUUUAUCCAAAUGAUCUUUGUAAAUAAUUUUUAAAAUGAUUUCAGUAGUCUAUCCUAUGAGGUUUAUUUGAUAAUAUCAAUUCAACUGUGUAUUCAAUUUUUAUAUGAGUAUAUAAUUUAUUAUUACCACAAACAUAUUUAAUUUAAAUUUUUAAAUCAACAACAGGUUAUACUAAUUUCGACAAUAACAACAAAUGUUUUUGGUAAUAAUUUAACCAUUGUCAGCCUUUUAGUUUCAUUUUUUUAUAUAGGUAAAUAAGUACCUAGUUAUUAAAUUAAAUUAUAUAUAUUAUUAAUUAUAAAGUAUUUAUAAAGAUGAUAAUUGAGAUUAUAUAUAUAACAGAAUAUUUAACUUAGAAUUUGAACAACAACCAGUCUUUUAAUAAGCUUUAUCUAAUGAAUUAAAAAAAAAACUUAAAAUAUAUAAAAAUUACUUCAGAGAUCAAAUAUUAUGUGCCCUCUCUGCUCUCUUGUCUUCAUCAAUUUCAAAAUUACAUCAUCUACAUUUACUUAAGUAAUAUCUUCUAUUGUUCAGGGAAAUUGUUUUUGAAUUUUUUAUGCAGUUAUAUGAAUAGGUAAUUAAAAGACAUUGAGAUUUACUUGCAGCAAUGAGUCCUAUGAGAUUCAUUCUUCUUGAAUAUUGUGGUUGAUGGUAGAUUUUAGAU
rnacentral:lncRNA from 1 species